CAAGACACGAACCGGGACUAAAUCCUCCAAACCCUUUAGUCUCGUGUCGAGACACAAAUCGGGACUAAAGGCUCCUUACGGGCCGUGACCAAAGCCUCGUGCGAUUUGGGACGACGUAGCCGGGCCUUUAGUCCCGGCCCAGAGGCAGGCCGGGACUAAAGGGUUCAGGCCAAAGGCCCUUUUUCUACUAGUGUAAACUACGCAUGUUUAACUAUUUUCGCGGGCACCACGUCGUCAAACUCGCCGUUUUAUUCUCCCGGAACAGUAAUGCUACACAUACGGACAAUUACAGACUGAUUUUGUUUACAUGAUGACAUGGCAACAGGUGAUUGGAGAGAAAAAGAGUGAGGCGGGUCACCCGAUGAAAAAUCAGGAAGGACUGAGAUUAUUUAGGAAAGGUCCGUAAUGACUCCGUAAAAGUCCCGUAGAUCUAGAAUUAUUGCUCCCGGAAUUGCCUCGUAGGCCUUCGUCAAACUUCGCCAACUGGGGUUUGGACUUUUGGAGUGAUGCGACUGGUGUGGCCAUGCAUGGCCCAUGGGAUUGGAAGCUGAGCUGAGAUUGCCCGCCAUCUGACUUUCGCGGCACACGCAGUGACAGAAACUGUACACUUUGACGACCGCUUCCACAAAAAAGAAAAAAAAAAUGUUUUCCUGCAUGGCUGCACAUCUCUCAUGAUCGUCGACCACCUUUGCAAGUUACCCCUAUCGGCUCAAAUGGAAUCAGAUCAUUAGAAAACUAGUAGGCGGAGGCGCGGCCGUCGUGAAGCUUGUUUGGAUGGUUACACAAGGAAAGAAAGCAUGAGUAAGAAAACUGACAGUUGGUAAUGUGUGAGUCAAUUUAACUUCGAAAAAUAUCGAAAGAUAUCAAAAAACAGUUCACCUAUAGUUACAUGUACUUAGCUAUAUAUUUUAAAUGUUUCGGCAAAAGUUGUUCCUAUCAAGAUAGCCGAAGUCUGAAAACUAUCUAAUACAACCAAAAGUUAUACAGAAUGAAGCAUCCUGCGAACCGAAGAAAAUUGCUCCAACAUGAAGAUCACAUUUUAUAGAUAACACCCCACCCUAUAAUAGAUGAAAUUUUAUAUUAAUGAAUGAAGCAAGAUACAGUAGAUGAAAAAAAACAAAAAAAGUGAAUUAAAAAAAUACUCCCUCCUUUCCUAAAUAUAAGUCUUUUAAGCGAUUUCACUAAGGGUCUACAUACGGAACAAAAUGAUUGAAUCUAUAAUCUAAAGUAUGUCUAUAUACAUCCCUAUGUAGUUCACUAGUGAAAUCUCUAUAAAGACUUAUAUUUAGGAACGGAGGGAGUAGAAAGGAUCCACCAAUAGACAAAGCCUACUCUUUUAGGCUCGGUAUAGGUAGCCGAGUUAAAAACCCAACAGUGUUAAUGUUUUAUGUAAUGCAUACAAACAUCAGUUCACAAAACAGCAAAAAAUUGAAUGAAGAUACUCAAGUGAAAAGAUGGAAUCUUUGGCAUUACAGUGCAAUGACGAUUUCUUUAUACAUAAUAUUUUGAGUAAUAUAUGUUGCAACCCGUAAUUCUUAGUUGUGAAAAAAUAGCAUGCAUGAUUGAUCGAAUUAGAGAUGCAUUAUCAGUUAAAUCAAGCCUAACUCUCACAGUUUAAUUGGUAUUAACCUAGAUGCUCUAAGGCACAUAAUUUUCUUUAAUUUUCUUAUCCUAUGAUGUCCUACGGAAAAAGCUGCUAGGUAGUGCAUCAUAAUUAACCUAACUUUAUAUGGAAGGUAGAAUAAGGAAAAACUGCUACCGUUUAUACUACUCACAAUGUUAUAGGGAUUGGGUGUGUGUGCGCAUUUACAUAGGUGAGUGUAACUGUGUUGAUGCUGAUGCUCGCAUUUUUCUGAAUUUAUUCCGGUCUCUCCUGAUAGCGUUAUAUGGGUUGGGUGUGCGGGUGCAUUCAUAGAAGUCAGUGUAUGUGACAUCUACGGUGUACUCUUUUGGCUCCGUUGCUCCCACUUUCCUGGAUUUAUUUAAGCAUCUUUGGUGAUAUUCAUUCAGUACGAGAAGACGUCCCCGUCAACCACGGAAGCAUGUAUGGUGCCUUCAUCGGUUUCAAAAUGUAGUCCCGGCUUAGUAUCUCAAAUGUUUUCAUAUAGAUAGUGUGCUUGCGUGUGUUCAUAAGUCUAUAACGCUGGUGCUCGCGUAUAUGUGUGCACCGGCGUUAUAUUGUGUCAAAAAACAGUAGCAAACACAAAAAGAAAAAUCUAAUAGUGAAUUAAAUAAAAACCAACACGUGUCACGUACAGAAGCACUGAAGGUAGAGUACUUCAAAUGCAUGACAGUGAAGCUAGCUUAGCAACUUCAAUUAUUUACUAUAUACGUUGAAACACUCGCUGUCGAUGGUGGCCAGUUGCGAUACCCACUGCCAGUCCUCGUUGUCGCACACGUCGCUCCUCACGAAAUAGACCCCGGGUUUAGCUCAUUGGGCCAACGGAGCAACAACGACAAGAUCAGAGGAAGAAAGAGAGACAUGGUUAAAGAAAGUUGGGCCGUCACUACGCUUUUGCUGCAACAUGUGCCGAAGGAAGAGAAAUAUCUCUUGAGAACGAUGAAAUGAUUCGUGAAGGGUCAUGCGAAGGGACGGGAGAGGAGGAUAUAUAAAAUGAUGGGUAAGUAACAAACGCAAGUGACGAACCAAUUUGUGGUUAAAUGAUAAGGAGAACAAUGGUAUCCCAACUCAUGAGAGUUCCAGUCGUAGACUUGACAUUGAUGCUUAUAUUUUUAAAUUUAUUCUAGCCCUUCAUGAGAUGUGCAUUCAGUAAGAGGAGACAUUCUCAUCGGCUACGAAGGUGUCUAUAACGACUUCAUCAAUCUUAAGAGAAUGUGUCGGCUCAGUCUUUGAAUUGCGCUUAUAGGAAUAGAAUAUGCGCGUGCGCAUUCAUAGGAAUAGGUAUAUGCAGGGGCGGAGCCAGGAUUUGAACAUGAGGGGGGCGAGGCAAUCAACUGAACUGGGGCUGGAAUUAUCAUCUAUAACAGGUUGCUCCUCUGGUGGAUUUGCAGUUUCAGCUGCAUUAGAGGUAGAAGCAAUAGGCUUGAAAAACGAAUCUAUUUUUGUUGUAUUCUUCUUUCUCUUCAUCCUUCAGUAAGUGGAACAGUAAAUUAAACUAUCUUCAUGAAAACGGCACUAAUUCACCAAGAUUAACAGUGUGUCUGCGACGACGUACCUUGAUUGCGAGUUGAAGUUUUGAUUUGUUGAUGUAUAUAUCAUGGCAUCAUGCCGAUCAGCCGAUGAAGCACGAACUGAACUCUGAAGUUUAGACCACUUCCCUAGUCCCUAUUACGACGGCGACGGAGAACGGGAAGCGACAGGCGACGAAGAAUGAGAAGCGACAGAUGACGGGCAGGCAGGGACGGCCGGCGAUGCAGAACCUGAAGACUCGAAGGAUCAGCGAUUGACAAACUAUUACGUACAGGGGCAUCCUGGUGGCAGCGACAUUGAGGGAUCAGCGAUCCAGACUUCAGAGUCCAGCGGCGCCCUGGCUGCACGUAAUCUAAUCACAUCCAGUUUUUUAGGCUAGAUUGAAGGAUAUAACUGCUUUUCCUUGGCUGUGGC
rnacentral:lncRNA from 1 species